UAACAAGGACAUUAGGCUUAGUCUUUAGCCACAGCCACUUUACAUAGCUGUCACGGUUGGCGGCGAGGCAGAUGCGGGUGCAGACUAUAUUUAAUAUAGAUACAAACGAAACAUCAAACAGUACCUAUAGAACUUGUGGCAGAAAUCUAAGGCAAAGACUAACCAUGAAACUAAGACCAUAAACACAGCAACAGAGACAAUGGCAAAGAAAGAUAAACAUAAGACAACCAGUGUAGUGCAAACUGUGGCUAUAAAUACCAGUAAGUGAUGUUCAGGUGCAGGUGGUCAUGUGACAUAAUUGUGUGGUGCAGUGGCUGCUGGGAACUGUAGUCCAGAGUUCCUUCUCUGAUAUUACAUGACAAUAGCAAGUUUGCAUCUUGCUAGUUUAGAUAUUAUAUAUGUACUGUAUGUAUGUAUGUAUGUAUGUAUGUAUGUAUAUAGGUAUUUAUUCCUUAUAAUAUAUGCCUAAAUUUUUUUCAGCUCAUCGAGCAUCUGCAACAAUUAAGUCUGGAUGUGGAGGAGAGGCAUGUAGAGGAGAUGCAUGUGGAGGUCAGCUGUCUGCAUUUUUUUAAAUUGUCAUUUUCUAAAUUGUGAUAAGUAAAUGCCUUGUUACAAAAUGAAGUUCCUGUUCUGUUUUAACCAUCUGUAUCUCUUGUUUUCUUUCUCCCACUCUCAUUGAGUAUCCUUCCUCUAUUUUUUCCUCUCCUCCCUCUUCUUUAAUCUCUCCUCCCUCCCUCCCUCCCUCCCUCCCUCCCUCCCUCCUCCCCGCCCUCCACGAAACAUCCACAAAUCUGUACUGAGUUUGACCUCUGAUCAUAAAUAUCUGAAACACAUGAAGUCAGUUUCUCGCAGAACACGUGGUUGACUGAAGUGGGCUUCCUUUUAUUGCCUUCCCUUCCCCUGCACCACUCUGUUAUUCUCAGACCUUUUUCCUCCUGUGAGGAAAUUCACAGAACACUGAAGCAGUGCUGCUGACCAUGAACAGCCUUUGAUGGAGUAUCAGCAUGAUGAAAUAAAACACAGCAAUGACUAAAUGCCACAUGAUGCCGUUAGUGAGAUGAGUGAAUUCUUCCAGAAACUAAGCCUGGGGGAAGAAAAGAUGGAUGUGGAUGUGGAUGAAGAGGAGAUGGAUGUGGAUAUGGUUGUAGAGAAGAUGGAUGUGGACAUGAUGGAUGAGAUGAACAGCCUGAAAGAACAGAUCAGAAAGAGGAUCAGAUCGAUGAUCAUACAAAUGAUCACAAUCAGGAUCUGAUCAUUGGAGAUAUGCGACUGACAGCAAAUCUCCGUUUUCAGAUAUUUGGCACAAGUUGGACUUCUGUAUAUAUGUCAUUUCUUACCUAAUAGUAUCUAUUUUAUUCUAGUUCACUUUUUAACCUGUAAAAUACCCAACUGUAUCCUGUGUCUUGUAUGGGUAUUAUUGUAAAUAUGUAUAUGUUACUUUGCUUGCUUUGCUUUGUUAUUGAAUCAAUAUUGCAUUAAAUUUAAACAAAGUUUAAGUCCUCCAAAGUGGGGGGGUGGAUGGUAUGGGUUUAAAAAAAAAAAAUAAAUAAACUAGUAAAAUGCACGUGGCUCAAAGUUUCUGUCAUUGUAACCUUUCUAGAUACAUUUAAAGCAAUUUCACGUAAUAACCCCCCCCAGUUGAAAUUAUUAAGAAAUUAAUUCUAUCCAGGAUUUCUUUUUCACGCAGAACGCAUUGUAGGAGACAGCAUCUUAAACGGAG
ensembl:lncRNA